rnacentral:rRNA from 1 species
CAGGGGAAACUCUGGUGGAAGCUCGUAGCGAUUCUGAC